rnacentral:rRNA from 1 species
GAUGAACGCUAGCGGCAGGCUUAAUACAUGCAAGUCGAGGGGCAUCAAGGUACACGAAAGUGUAUUGUUGGCGACCGGCGGACGGGUGAGUAAUAGGUAGGUAACCUACCUCAUACUGAGGCAUAGCUGGGAGAAAUUCCAGGUAAUUCCUCAUGAGGUUAUAUGACACAUGUGAUAUAAUCAAAGGUAUCGCAAGGUACUGGUAUGAGAUGGGCUUACUGACCAUUAGCUAGUUGGUGAGAUAAGAGCUCACCAAGGCGAAGAUGGUUAGGGGUUUUGAGAGAGAGAUCCCCCACAUUGGAACUGAGAUACGGUCCAGACUCCUACGGGAGGCAGCAGUAGGGAAUAUUGGGCAAUGGGCGGAAGCCUGACCCAGCCAUGCCGCGUGAGUGAAGAAGGCCUCGGGUUGUAAAGCUCUUUCACGGUAGGAAAGAAGUACGGUACACUGGGUUAGUACCCUGUAGGUCCGGAAGUAGUAACGGUACCGGACCGACUAAGUAACGGACCGGACG